AGCUGAUGCAGCGACGCCGCGUGAGGGAUGACGGCCUUCGGGUUGUAAACCUCUUUCAGUAGGGAAGAAGCGAGAGUGACGGUACCUGCAGAAGAAGCGCCGGCUAACUACGUGCCAGCAGCCGCGGUAAUACGUAGGGCGCAAGCGUUGUCCGGAAUUAUUGGGCGUAAAGAGCUCGUAGGCGGUUUGUCGCGUCUGCUGUGAAAGCCCGGGGCUCAACCCCGGGUCUGCAGUGGGUACGGGCAGACUAGAGUGCAGUAGGGGAGACUGGAAUUCCUGGUGUAGCGGUGAAAUGCGCAGAUAUCAGGAGGAACACCGAUGGCGAAGGCAGGUCUCUGGGCUGUUACUGACGCUGAGGAGCGAAAGCAUGGGGAGCGAACAGGAUUAGAUACCCUGGUAGUCCAUGCCGUAAACGUUGGGCACUAGGUGUGGGGGACAUUCCACGUUUUCCGCGCCGUAGCUAACGCAUUAAGUGCCCCGCCUGGGGAGUACGGCCGCAAGGCUAAAACUCAAAGAAAUU
rnacentral:rRNA from 1 species